rnacentral:rRNA from 1 species
CCUACGGGUGGCAGCAGUGGGGAAUAUUGCGCAAUGGGCGAAAGCCUGACGCAGCGACGCCGCGUGAGGGAUGAAGGUCUUCGGAUCGUAAACCUCUGUCAGCAGGGCAGAACGGUCACUGUGCUAAUCAGCAGUGAAUUGACGGUACCUGCAAAGGAAGCACCGGCUAACUCCGUGCCAGCAGCCGAGGUAAUACGGAGGGUGCGAGCGUUAAUCGGAAUUACUGGGCGUAAAGCGCUCGUAGGCGGUAUGUCAAGUCAAGGGUGAAAUCCCCGCGCUCACCGUGGGAACUGCCUUUGAAACUGGCAAACUGGAGUGUGUGAGAGGAUAGUGGAAUUCCAGGUGUAGGAGUGAAAGCCGUAGAUAUCUGGAGGAACAUCAGUGGCGAAGGCGACUAUCUGGCACAUAACUGACGCUGAGGAGCGAAAGCGUGGGUAGCAAACAGGAUUAGAUACCCUAGUAGUC